GCCCCUUCGGGGACAUUUAAUAAAAUCGAAAUGAUACAAAGAUGAUUAGAAUGACCCCUGCUCAAGAAUAACAUGUACAAAUCGAGAAAUGAUCCAAAAAUUA
rfam:Solanum tuberosum cultivar DM 1-3 516 R44 scf00155_5, whole genome shotgun sequence.